rnacentral:rRNA from 1 species
AGUCGAACGGAAAGGCCCUUUCGGGGGUACUCGAGUGGCGAACGGGUGAGUAACACGUGGGUGAUCUGCCCUGCACUCUGGGAUAAGCCUGGGAAACUGGGUCUAAUACUGGAUAGGACCAUGGGAUGCAUGUUCUGUGGUGGAAAGCUUUUGCGGUGUGGGAUGGGCCCGCGGCCUAUCAGCUUGUUGGUGGGGUGAUGGCCUACCAAGGCGACGACGGGUAGCCGGCCUGAGAGGGUGUCCGGCCACACUGGGACUGAGAUACGGCCCAGACUCCUACGGGAGGCAGCAGUGGGGAAUAUUGCACAAUGGGCGCAAGCCUGAUGCAGCGACGCCGCGUGGGGGAUGACGGCCUUCGGGUUGUAAACCUCUUUCAGUAUCGGCGAAGCUUGCGGGUUUUCUCGCAGGUGACGGUAGGUACAGAAGAAGCACCGGCCAACUACGUGCCAGCAGCCGCGGUAAUACGUAGGGUGCGAGCGUUGUCCGGAAUUACUGGGCGUAAAGAGCUCGUAGGUGGUUUGUCGCGUUGUCCGUGAAAACUCACAGCUCAACUGUGGGCGUGCGGGCGAUACGGGCAGACU